GACGAACGCUGGCGGCGUGCCUAGUACAUGCAAGUAGAACGCUGAAGGAGGAGCUUGCUUCUCUGGAUGAGUUGCGAACGGGUGAGUAACGCGUAGGUAACCUGCCUGGUAGCGGGGGAUAACUAUUGGAAACGAUAGCUAAUACCGCAUAAGAGUAGAUGUUGCAUGACAUUUGCUUAAAAGGUGCAAUUGCAUCACUACCAGAUGGACCUGCGUUGUAUUAGCUAGUUGGUGGGGUAACGGCUCACCAAGGCGACGAUACAUAGCCGACCUGAGAGGGUGAUCGGCCACACUGGGACUGAGACACGGCCCAGACUCCUACGGGAGGCAGCAGUAGGGAAUCUUCGGCAAUGGACGGAAGUCUGACCGAGCAACGCCGCGUGAGUGAAGAAGGUUUUCGGAUCGUAAAGCUCUGUUGUAAGAGAAGAACGAGUGUGAGAGUGGAAAGUUCACACUGUGACGGUAUCUUACCAGAAAGGGACGGCUAACUACGU
rnacentral:rRNA from 1 species